rnacentral:rRNA from 1 species
UGGGGAAUAUUGCACAAUGGGCGCAAGCCUGAUGCAGCGACGCCGCGUGAGGGAUGGAGGCCUUCGGGUUGUAAACCUCUUUCGCCAGUGAAGCAGGCCAUCUUCUUUGUGGGGUGGUUGACGGUAGCUGGAUAAGAAGCGCCGGCUAACUACGUGCCAGCAGCCGCGGUAAUACGUAGGGCGCGAGCGUUGUCCGGAAUUUUUGGGCGUAAAGAGCUCGUAGGCGGCUGGUCGCGUCUGUCGUGAAAUCCCCUGGCUUAACUGGGGGCUUGCGGUGGGUACGGGCUGGCUUGAGUGCGGUAGGGGAGACUGGAAUUCCUGGUGUAGCGGUGGAAUGCGCAGAUAUCAGGAGGAACACCGGUGGCGAAGGCGGGUCUCUGGGCCGUUACUGACGCUGAGGAGCGAAAGCGUGGGGAGCGAACAGG